rnacentral:rRNA from 1 species
UGGGGAAUAUUGGACAAUGGGCGAAAGCCUGAUCCAGCCAUGCCGCGUGUGUGAAGAAGGUCUUCGGAUUGUAAAGCACUUUAAGUUGGGAGGAAGGGCAGUAAGUUAAUACCUUGCUGUUUUGACGUUACCAACAGAAUAACGCAACCGGCUACUUCGCUGCCAGCAGCCGCGUAAUACAGAGGUGCAAGCGUUAAUCGGAAUUACUGGGCGUAAAGCGCGCGUAGGUGGUUCAGCAAGUUGGAUGUGAAAUCCCCGGGCUCAACCUGGGAACUGCAUCCAAAACUACUGAGCUAGAGUACGGUAGAGGGUGGUGGAAUUUCCUGUGUAGCGGUGAAAUGCGUUAGAUAUAGGAAGGAACACCAGUGGCGAAGGCGACCACCUGGACUGAUACUGACACUGAGGUGCGAAAAGCGUGGGGAGCAAACA